GAAACAAUAACAAUAUCACAACAAAAGCAAGAGACUAAAAUCACCAUAGCAAGGAAAUUCUACUAGGAGCACAUCAAAAGCAAGAGAAGAAACAAUGGGCAGCUCAUGCGAGAUUCAUAACAUAUACAUGUUUUGGUCUCUAGGGGAUCCACACUCUGAACUGAUAAUAUUAUAUUGGGAUUAAAUCUGUAUCCUGGUUCUGAUGCAAUUUCAAAAGUCCUGAGCAUCCUAUGCAGCAGGCCAAUGAUGAAUUGAACCACAUCAAAAGUGAAAGAUCGGGAAACUUU